rnacentral:lncRNA from 1 species
UUUACUGAUCUCUGUGUGUGUGUGUGUGUGUGUGUGUGUGUGUGUGUGUGUAUGUGUGUGUGUGUGUACACAGUGUGUGCUUAGGACUGAGUUAAAAUGCCAUGCUUAUUUGACACGUGGGUCCUCAACUAUAAGGGCUUUGGGAACAUUUAAGUCAUCAGCCACGGAUUUGAAAGAAAGACUUUACUUGUCAAAUAUGAUUCUACAAAGAUACAUUUUCUAUACAAGUAUAGAUGUUCAAAAGCAUAGGCUAUUUCAUCAUGGUGGUGCACAAAGAUGGGAAAAUAUAAUGAACAUACCUUAGAGGUUUCUAUUUAUACAAUUGUGUGCAUUGAAAAGUAGCUGAGCAGUCUGAACAAAGAAACUGACGUAAUUAUCCUGGAUCCAUUUUUUUUCUAGUCUAUUUGAUCAAAGAACCCAUUUAACAUCAAGGAUAUACAGGCAUUUCAGGAAAAGCAAAUCAAUGGAGUACAGUUCAAGGAAUACUCUCCUAGGCCUGUGGCUUAUUUCAAAUCUUUAAGAACAUCCUAUUAGUAUGUAAAGCAAAGUUCAUAUAGGAAACUAGGUACUUAAUGUAACAGCCAGAGGGGCAAUCAUGAGACGGUCUCUUUUCCAAUAUGGACUACAGUCUUUAGUAUAGUAGUCUGUUUUGCAGUCUCUUUUUUUCUCCAUUAUUAUCUCCUUAUGUCUCACUUCUGCUUAUUUUGUUGCAGUCAGUGAUCAAUACAUCAAAGGAAAAAAGAAUUUUCAGUAUAGAUUUCUACAUAAAAUGAUGAGUUUUUUGAAUCUUACGCUUGGUAUCAGAUUUCUCUGACCUGUUAUCUAUUAUCUCCAAGUCUGGAUUCUGGACAGUGAGGAAGACAUGAGGGGCGGUGGGGAAUUUGUGUAUAAUAGGCAACUGAAUUUCUUCUUGUGCACUCAGGGCCUUCUGCUCAGGAUGCUGUAGGGUGCUCAUGCAGGCUACAGGACAUAGUACCAAAUGGUUAAACAGCAUGGGGGAGAUCAGAAGAAUAUUUGUGCAAUUGAUACCAACAAGCUAUUUCUUGGGCAACAUACAUGGCCAGAAUUUUGAGAGUACGUUGACAGAAAUUAGCAAUUGAUAAUGACUAUGUUUGAAUUUUGCAGACCAGGAACUCAAAGGUUUUUAAAAUAUGCAUUAACAUUAAAAAAGUAAUAAAAGCACUUUCUAGUUUAGAUGUUAUGAGUCAGAUUGAUAAGUCAGAAGAAAUGGAAAACUUGAAUUUUAUUCAUUUGCUCCACAAAUAUUUAUUAAGCAUUAAUUAUGUUGCUGUCAUGUUGCUGGAUGUUAGUGUGAUCUCUGCCCCACAGGAACUUACCAAGAAUAACAGACAAAACAGAAAAGACCAGAUAGGCCAGGAACAUUUUCUUCAAGGCACACAUUACUGAAAGAACUGGAAAUUAAAACUAGACAGGAAUUGUGUAAUUGUAGAUUAUUGUGUAUAUUUAUUCAUACUGAAAUUUAACCAACAAAGUCUUCACAUGUAUUGCAAUGGUUUAGAUUGACAGAGGUUCAGUGUACAGACGUUGUAGCCAGAAUGUCUAUUUCCAGUCUCUUGUUUACUACUUAACAGCUGUGUGCCCUUGGGCAAUUUAUUCAACCUCUUGGUUCCUCAGUUACCUUGUCAGUCAAAUGGAGAUAGUAUUCGUACCUACCUUAAAAGGCUGUCCUGAGGAUUAAAUGAGCUAGUACCUGUUAAACGUCAGAAUGAUACCUUGUACAUAGAAAACGUGUGAUACGUUUUGCUACCAUUGCAAUUUUAAUGUAUUGUAUUUGCUAUUGGACAGUCCAGUUACUUUAAUCCUUUGUUGUCAUUUUAAGAGCUUUAUUUAAAGAACUUCCUAGGUUCCAUUAUAUGCUCAAUUUUUUGAGUGAUUUUUGAGGUUUGAAGGGCUUUUUGAAACGCUGUGUGUCUUUUUUAGGCAGAAGCCUUUGCAAACCAGUGUACUAGUUGUCAUUGUCACAUCCUUUCUCCUGACUUGGGAAUCGUGGAAUCAAGGGUUGACAUGGUGCUCUGUCAGCCCCAGCUGGCCACCAAUGGCCAUAUAACAUGAGGCAGAAAAAAGCCUUUGCUGUUUGAUUGAAGUGUCUGAGAUUUCAGGGCUGUAUUUGUAGCAUUAACUCACAUAACCUGACUAAUAUAUGUGGUAUAGCCCAGCGCAGAAGCAAUGUAUAUAACAUGAUGAUGAUAAUAUAUGGUGCAUUGUAAAUGCCUAAAAUUGUAUUAUUUUAUGGUUAUUAUCAUGAUUCUGUUAUUUGAUCUGAAGAAUUUCUCAUGAAGAUAAAAUGGCUCAAAUUUUCUUGUACAUUUAUUGAGUAAAAUAUUAUGUAUGGUCUCUUUCUCUCUCUCUCCCCGCAGAAUUGAUCAGUCAGUGUCUAUCAGGCCCUGUGCCUGUGUUGUAAAAUGUUUGUGAACCACAAUAUCUCUGCUCUUGAUCUGCUGAAAAUUGUUAUAAUUAGUUCAGUUAAAAAGCCAUUGAUUGAGCACAUGUUAUGUCCAGGGACUAAGUUAGGUGACAAUUAGAAAAACCUUCUGGUAUUAACGAAAUCCUUCUUAGGAAGCUUGUGAUGAGGUACAUUUUUUUGGACUCAGAAGAAUAAUGUGCAAAAUGCUUGAUGUUUACUCCAUACCAUGGAAUUAUUAAUCAUGGGGUGUGACUACACCCUGGAAGUCUGGGAUAGAGGACUGGAGAGGAGGCACAGAGACCUGGAGAAUCCACUUGCGGUAAGUUGUGGAGUAUCGGCAGCAAAAGAGGAGCUUGGGGUUGAGAGUUUGCCUGAGGUUGGGAAUGAAGCGAGCAAGAUAAAACUUUGCUGAUUUUCAGUUGCAGCCCUUGUUGAAGGGAAGAGGAAAAAAAAUCCCUGUAGAAUACAUAUUUCAUAAACCGUUAUUUUAACCACCUUUUAUAUUUCAGUUACAAGUUUUAAGAUGAAGGGCAUAAGGAUAUAGGAAAAAUAUCAUGAUACAUUGCUUUUCUUUUCUGCCAUUUCUGGUCCCAUUUGGAAGUCACGAUAGUCCUUUUCUAAAAGCUGAUAAGUCCUUUAAAAAUGUUUAAAUUGCAGUUGAUUGCACUGACCUAGGAAUCUUCUAAUAUCUAAUUCUUGCAUGAAAAUGUAACUAGCAAGAUGACUCCUGCUGGCUUAUAAUAUGCUUAUUACAAAAAAGCCCACUUGUCAGACACAGAUAUUUGAACAUUAUGAAAAUGAAUUCAUAAGCCAAAUCUGUCUGUCAGAUGUCUUUAAUUUAAAUGUUCUGAUGGGUGAUGAGACUCAGCAUGAUGACAUCCAAAAUUGUCGUGUGAAAUUAAAAAUGUCAGGGAAGAAGAAGGCUAGAAAAAAAUUUGACAUUUAGUUCAAAUUAGUUCACUUGACGUUUGGAAUUUAAAGUUUCUGGUCAAGAACAGUUUUGAUUUGUCAAAUUUGGACUUUACCACUUAUGAAUCAAGUGCCAUCAUUCCAUUGGUGUUUUCUCUUAAAUGACUGAGGUUAUGUAUUUUACCCCAGAUCACCUGUGGAAUGCUGGCGAGGUUAAUUCAGUAACUAUAGAAAUACUCUUUCCAGAGCUUCUGGGGUGAACAGUGCUACAGAUUUCACUUUCUAAAUAAAUACAGGUAGGUAGAGGUCAUUCUAAGUGGGAUAUUAAACAAUUUUUUUUUUCCGGUGAAUGUUGAACUUCUUGUGUGGCACAAUGCUCUAGUGUGCGACCUUCUACUUGACAGCUGUGCCUUACCCUAGCUCCUGCAUAGACUCAUUAUGCAGGCUUCUUGCUCAUGCCCGAGUGGUCCACAGCUGUUUGGAAGCCCAUAGCCGGAUGACUGUUAACUGUGGCCCACCUGCCUCAGUUCAAGGCUUAGAGAAGCUCUGUGUUGCUGCUUUUCUAAUUCCUGAAGUUCAACUGUGCUGUCACCAUGACAGUUACAUCCUUCUUAAGACCAAGUAGGCACACUAGAGAAGUAAGUAAUUUGUUGGAGGUGGUGAGGAUGAUAAUGAUGCAGGCUGCUUUCAGAUUAGGCAGUAUCAGUGUGCAGCACAGAUUCAGAAAUCAGAUCUAGAGAUGGGUUCUCAGUGAUUGUUUCAUUUUGGAUCUUUCUCUAGCCCUCUGAGUUUAGCCUUAUUCUUAACUUUCAGACAUUACCCAAUUUCUCAAGAAGCCUUUCCUUGAUCAUAGGGUUUCAUAAACAUGAGAGAUAACCUCUUUCCUUUCUGUUUUGUUUCUCAAAAUAUGUUGAAGUAUUAUUCAAUGAGAUUUUUAUAGAACUGUCACUCUGCAAAACUAGGCACUGAAUGAAUUGUAGGAUUAAUGAAGCAUAAUCUAGUUGGGGCUAUUAGAUUUACAUGUUUGAAACAUUGAAGUAGCAUGGCAGUGUCAAGAACUGUGAAGGGUUUUAUAUUUUACCUUAUUUGUAAACUUACAAGUAGGCUUGUCACAGUUUCUCAUACCCUGGCAGAAGACACAAGACAGCUCAGAUUUUCUUACUUACAGAACAGCACGCUAAAUGAGUGUUAGCAUAUUUAAGUCACUUCCCCUUUCCUCUGAGUUCCCCAGAAGUGAUGCAGGAGGCCAGAUAAAUGCCAGCUCACUUUCUGGAUUUUGCUACAGAAGAGAACACCAUGUGUAGGGAACCUGAAUUUUUUGUAAUAGGCCGUAAGCAUGCCUGCCCUUUGGCCUGGAAAGAGACACUAUAUCUUCCAGGGCUGUUUGCUGUGUAAACAUCCUUGAAAAGACAGCCUUGAACAAAGGGCAGUCAAUAGUUCUACUCAAAAGACAUGGAGAAAUGCAAAAGACCCAUGGAGAUUUGUCUUCUAAUCGGCAGCAUCUUGCAAGGAGAACAAGAAGAUUUAUACUAGCCAUGCAAGGAAUCUUUGGAAGUCUAACAGACCUGACUUGAAGAGAAGGCUUUAAACAAGAAAUUCUUCAUUCUGGAACAGUGAUUCUUAAAGUGCGGUUCAGAGACCCUGGGAGACACUGACAUUCUUUCAGAGUGUGAGUGAGGAUUUCCUCUUUGCAACUACAAUCUGUGUAAGGUUGGAUUUUCUUUACAUACAUAAACUAAAAUAAGAUUGCAAUAAGAUGAAUGCAGAAGCAGAUAAGAGAAUCCAGCUGUCUUAAGUUAGACUUCACAGAGAUUUGCAAAAAUCCAAACAAGACCACUCUCGUCAUUAAAGUUAUUUUCCAUUUGUUAUGGUGAACUUAUUUUGCAGGAAAUUUGUUAUUUAUAGUAACAUACAAUUUUGUUUUUUGAUCAUUUUAAAUAAAUUAAUAAAUAUUAUAAGUUUUCUAUUUUUAAAAUUAUACAUGUCAGAAAAGAACAGUUCUUUCAGGUCCUCAACAAUUUUAAGACUAUUAACUUGUUUUGGAUCAAAAAGUUCUAGAUUUGCUAUUCUAGACAUGAAUCCUUUGAAAUUAAUUGGCUUCAUAAGUAUAUUUUUCAAGUUUGUGGCUUGUCCUGUAACCUUCUACUGUGUAGAAGUUUUAAAUUUUAAUUUAAAGAAAUUUAAAAUUUUUUCAUUUUUGUUUGUGCUUUUGGUGUCAUAUUUAGGAAAUCCUUCUCUACCUUGAGUUCAUGAAAAUAUCCUCUUAUAUUUAGUAUUUACAGUUUGUUCUUCAUCUUUAGGUCUAUAAUUUAUUGAAAAUAUAG